rnacentral:rRNA from 1 species
UGAGGAAUAUUGGUCAAUGGGCGGAAGCCUGAACCAGCCAAGUCGCGUGAGGGAUUAAGGCCCUAUGGGUCGUAAACCUCUUUUGUCAGGGAGCAAUGGCGUCCACGUGUGGGCGUAUGGAGAGUACCUGAAGAAAAAGCAUCGGCUAACUCCGUGCCAGCAGCCGCGGUAAUACGGAGGAUGCGAGCGUUAUCCGGAUUUAUUGGGUUUAAAGGGUGCGUAGGCGGGACCUUAAGUCAGCGGUAAAAUUGCGGUGCUCAACGCCGUAGAGCCGUUGAAACUGGGGUUCUUGAGUGAGCGAGAAGUAUGCGGAAUGCGUGGUGUAGCGGUGAAAUGCAUAGAUAUCACGCAGAACCCCGAUUGCGAAGGCAGCAUACCGGCGCUCAACUGACGCUGAGGCACGAAAGUGCGGGUAUCGAACAGG